rnacentral:rRNA from 1 species
AACGUAGGAGGCAAGCGUUAUCCGGAGUAACUGGGCGUAAAGGGCGGGUAGGUGGUUGUGUAAGUUGGUUAUGAAAGCUCCUGGCUAAACUGGGAGAGGUUGACCAAGACUGCAGAACUUGAGUGGAGAAGAGGUAAACGGAAUUCCGCGUGUAGUAGUGAAAUGCGUAGAGAUGCGGAAGAACACCAGUGGCGAAGGCGGUUUACUGGUCUCCAACUGACACUGAGCCGCGAAAGCAUGGGUAGCGAACGGG